rnacentral:pre_miRNA from 1 species
CAAAUACUCCCUCCGUCCGGAAAUACUUGUCGAAGAAAUGCAUAAAAAUGGAUGUAUCUAGAACUAAAAUACGUCUAGAUACAUCCAUUCCUCCGACAAGUAUUUUCGGACGGAGGGAGUAUUUA